UACGUAGGGACCAAGCGUUGUUCGGAUUUACUGGGCGUAAAGGGCGCGUAGGCGGCAAUUCAAGUCAGUUGUGAAAUCUCCGAGCUUAACUCGGAACGGUCAACUGAUACUGUUUUGCUAGAGUGCAGAAAGGGCAACCGGAAUUCUUGGUGUAGCGGUGAAAUGCGCAGAUAUCAGGAGGAACACCGGUGGCGAAGGCGGGUCUCUGGGCCGAUACUGACGCUGAGGAGCGAAAGCGUGGGGAGCGAACAGG
rnacentral:rRNA from 1 species